GGUUCCUACGGGACGCAGCAGUGGGGAAUAUUGGGCAAUGGGCGCAAGCCUGACCCAGCAACGCCGCGUGAAGGAAGAAGGCUUUCGGGUUGUAAACUUCUUUUAUCAGGGACGAAGCAAGUGACGGUACCUGAUGAAUAAGCCACGGCUAACUACGUGCCAGCAGCCGCGGUAAUACGUAGGUGGCAAGCGUUAUCCGGAUUUACUGGGUGUAAAGGGCGUGUAGGCGGGAGUGCAAGUCAGAUGUGAAAACUAUGGGCUCAAACCAUAGCCUGCAUUUGAAACU
rnacentral:rRNA from 1 species